AGAGAGAGACAUGCGCGCAUAUCAAUAAGCGGAGGAAAAGAAACUAACAAGGAUUCCCUUAGUAACGGCGAGUGAAGCGGGAAGAGCUCAAAUUUGAAAUCUUCAAGGUUUUACCUUGACGAAUUGUAGUUUAAAGAAGUGUUUUCUGUUGAAGUUUUGGUAAAAGUUCUUUGGAAUAGGACAUCAUAGAGGGUGAGAAUCCCGUAUUUGACCAUUAUUUUCCAGCUUUGUGAUACACUUACAAAGAGUCGGAUUGUUUGGGAAUGCAGUCCAAAAUGGGUGGUAAAUUUCAUCUAAAGCUAAAUAUUGGCGAGAGACCGAUAGGGAACAAGUACCGUGAGGGAAAGAUGAAAAGAACUUUGAAAAGAGAGUUAAACAGUACGUGAAAUUGUCAAAAGGGAAGCGUUUGACACCAGUGUUGUUUUCUCGAAAAUCAAUUAAAAAUGGCUCGAUUUUGUAUUGCUUGAGACCUUAAAAGCUCACUGUACAUUUUUCGUGUCUUUUUUAAUGCACUUUUCGUUUAACAAGUCAACAUCAGUUUCUUUUGUUGUAAAGGGGUCAUUGGAAGGUGGCUUUCUUUUCGGAGAAAGUGUUUAUAGCCUUUGGCCUCUGCAAUCGAAGAGACUGAGGUCUGCAGCGUAGACUCUUCGGGGUUAGAUACAUUUGUGCUAAGUUAUAGCUUUUUAUAGACAACUUGUUGACUAUAAUUAGUCUUGUAGCUUACUCGCUUAUGCUAUUUUACCUACGCUUAGGAUGUUGAAGAUGUAGCACAUCAU
rnacentral:rRNA from 1 species